GCUGAAUGAGAAUCAAACUGUCACUCUGUCUUGUGAGUUUAACAGGAGUAAUUCAAAAUUUGUUCAAUUUUGGAUAUCAGAUAAUUCCAACUACGGAAGGCAAUGUUUAUCUUCAGUGGCACUUGAUGAGUCAUACAACAUUGAUAUUAAUAAGCAUUGCUGUGUUUCAAAGACAAUACAAGAGAGGAUCAAUGUGUGGAAUGGCUCGUUAUUCAUUGAUGAAGUACAGAAACACUACUUAAAUUUAACAAACGUUACAGCCUCUGAUAGUGGGAGGUACUUGUGUUUUAUCAUCUAUCAAAAAAAAAUGACACUUGUAAGUAACAUAACACUUCAAGUACAUGAAACUAAUGGUGCCACUCCCAUGCCAGGUGAUAUCUAUGGCCAGCGCCUAACUACCAACUGCAGUACACCUUCUGCAUUCCUGGUUCCAGCUAAUAAGCAAGACUUGUAUAUUAUCCUUGGAACUGUGGGAGGAGUCUUCAUUGGUAUAAUGUUUUUGGUGGUGUACUUUGUC